rnacentral:rRNA from 1 species
AUGUUCAAGAUUGGAAUGGUGAUGGUGCUCCCUUUGCUAGGGACAAGGGAGAUGCUCAUUCUGAUUCUGGAAGAUGAUCCCAGAGUCCAUGUAACAAAACUCAAGGAGGUCACCGCACUUCCCGCGGUGUUGCCCCCGUCUACUGAACUUGGCUUGCUCCACUGCAGCGGAGUAGGGUUGUCCCACGCCGGCAAUGGCUUUUGGUUGCUAGGUGGGGAGGACUCCGACAACGAGGAAGUGUGGUCGUUCAGAUAUCAAGGUACUUUUUGUUGCUACUCUAGAUAUCUGCAUUCUCCUUUGCAAAGUUGUGAAGAGAGAAUUGCACAUAGAAGAAGUUGA